GAGGUAUGAGGAAAACAUCUGAACAGUCUGACUGUCACUGAAGGAAAUCACUUGUGGUACCAGGAAUUAA
rnacentral:snoRNA from 1 species